AUACGGAGGGUGCAAGCGUUACUCGGAAGCACUGGGCGUAAAGCGCGCGCAGGCGGUCUUUUAAGUUGGAUGUGAAAGCCUACGGCUCAACCGUAGAACUGCAUCCAAAACUAUUAGACUAGAGUGUGGGAGAGGAAGAUGGAAUUAGUUGUGUAGGGGUAAAAUCCGUAGAGAUAACUAGGAAUACCAAAAGCGAAGGCAAUCUUCUGGAACACUACUGACGCUGAGGCGCGAAAGCGUGGGGAGCAAACAGGAUUAGAUACCCUAGUAGUCC
rnacentral:rRNA from 1 species